rnacentral:rRNA from 1 species
AUUGAACGCUGGCGGCAGGCCUAACACAUGCAAGUCGAACGGUAACAGGAAGCAGCUUGCUGCUUCGCUGACGAGUGGCGGACGGGUGAGUAAUGUCUGGGAAGCUGCCUGAUGGAGGGGGAUAACUACUGGAAACGGUAGCUAAUACCGCAUAAUGUCGCAAGACCAAAGAGGGGGACCUUCGGGCCUCUUGCCAUCGGAUGUGCCCAGAUGGGAUUAGCUUGUUGGUGGGGUAACGGCUCACCAUGGCGACGAUCCCUAGCUGGUCUGAGAGGAUGACCAGCCACACUGGAACUGAGACACGGUCCAGACUCCUACGGGAGGCAGCAGUGGGGAAUAUUGCACAAUGGGCGCAAGCCUGAUGCAGCCAUGCCGCGUGUAUGAAGAAGGCCUUCGGGUUGUAAAGUACUUUCAGCGGGGAGGAAGGGAGUAAAGUUAAUACCUUUGCUCAUUGACGUUACCCGCAGAAGAAGCACCGGCUAACUCCGUG